GCUUGCUUUAGGCAGAAUAUUACAGUUGUUACUAUAUAUGCUUCACUGGGAGAGGAGGCUCUUUGCCACUCGUUAAAUGAGACAGAGGUCACAACAGUGAUUUGUGGAAAUAAGGAACUGAAAAAAUUGAUUGCUAUAAGCGGACAGCUUGACUCUCUAAAACGGGUCAUUUAUAUGGAUGAGGAUGCUAGUGAGGUUUCAUUGGCUAAGAAGAUUACCAGUUGGACCAUCACCUCAUUUAUUGAAGUAGAGACUA